GAUGAACGCUGGCGGCGUGCCUAAUACAUGCAAGUCGAGCGAACAGAUAAGGAGCUUGCUCCUUUGACGUUAGCGGCGGACGGGUGAGUAACACGUGGGUAACCUAUCUAUAAGACUGGAAUAACUCCGGGAAACCGGGGCUAAUGCCGGAUAACAUGUUGAACCGCAUGGUUCUACAGUGAAAGGCGGCUUUGCUGUCACUUAUAGAUGGACCCGCGCCGUAUUAGCUAGUUGGUGAGGUAACGGCUCAUCAAGGCAACGAUACGUAGCCGACCUGAGAGGGUGAUCGGCCACACUGGAACUGAGACACGGUCCAGACUCCUACGGGAGGCAGCAGUAGGGAAUCUUCCGCAAUGGGCGAAAGCCUGACGGAGCAACGCCGCGUGAGUGAUGAAGGUCUUCGGAUCGUAAAACUCUGUUAUUAGGGAAGAACAAAUGCGUAAGUAACUGUGCGCGUCUUGACGGUACCUAAUCAGAAAGCCACGGCUAACUACGUG
rnacentral:rRNA from 1 species